AAGGCUCAGUAACACGUAGUCAACAUGCCCAGGGGACGUGGAUAACCUCGGGAAACUGAGGAUAAACCGCGAUAGGUCACUACUUCUGGAAUGGGUAAUGACCCAAACCUAUAUGGCCCCUGGAUUGGACUGCGGCCGAUCAGGCUGUUGGUGAGGUAAUGGCCCACCAAACCUGUAACCGGUACGGGCUCUGAGAGGAGGAGCCCGGAGAUGGGCACUGAGACAAGGGCCCAGGCCCUAUGGGGCGCAGCAGGCGCGAAACCUCUGCAAUAGGCGAAAGCUUGACAGGGUUACUCUGAGUGAUUUCCGUUAAGGAGAUCUUUUGGCACCUCUAAAAAUGGUGCAGAAUAAGGGGUGGGCAAGUCUGGUGUCAGCCGCCGCGGUAAUACCAGCACCCCGAGUGGUCGGGACGUUUAUUGGGCCUAAAGCAUCCGUAGCCGGUUCCACAAGUCUUCCGUUAAAUCCACCUGCUCAACAGAUGGGCUGCGGAAGAUACUAUGGAGCUAGGAGGCGGGAGAGGCAAGCGGUACUCGAUGGGUAGGGGUAAAAUCCGUUGAUCCAUUGAAGACCACCAGUGGCGAAGGCGGCUUGCCAGAACGCGCUCGACGGUGAGGGAUGAAAGCUGGGGGAGCAAACCGGAUUAGAUACCCGGGUAGUCCCAGCUGUAAACGAUGCAGACUCGGUGAUGAGUUGGCUUUAUGCCAACUCAGUGCCGCAGGGAAGCCGUUAAGUUUGCCGCCUGGGGAGUACGGUCGCAAGACUGAAACUUAAAGGAAUUGGCGGGGGAGCACCACAAGGGGUGAAGCCUGCGGUUCAAUUGGAGUCAACGCCCGGAAUCUUACCGGGGGCGACAGCAGAUGAAGGUCAAGCUGAAGACUUUACCAGACAGCUGAGAGGAGGUGCAUGGCCGUCGCAGCUCGUGCCGUGAGUGUCCUGUUAAGUCAGUACGAGCGAGACCCUGCUCUAGUUGCUACAAUAAUCUCAGAGUAUGAGCUAUUAAAGGACUGCGUCGCCUGAAAACGAAGAAGGAGGGGG
rnacentral:rRNA from 1 species